rnacentral:rRNA from 1 species
ACGCAGCGAAAUGCGAUAAGUAAUGUGAAUUGCAGAAUUCAGUGAAUCAUCGAAUCUUUGAACGCACCUUGCACCCUUUGGUAUUCCGAAGGGUACACCCGUUUGAGUGUCAUUGUAAUCUCACUUCGACGACUUUAUUGUUGUUUGAAUGUGGACUUGGACGUCUGCCGUGUAACAAUGGCUCGUCUUAAAUGCCUGAGUGUACCCCGCUUUGCGGCGUAUUCGGUGUGAUAAACAUUUCACCGGAGUUUGGUCUUUAGUGACCGCGCUUUUAGCAAUUGGUGGGCUCUAUGCUUUCGAACCGUCUGCCUCUGUGGACAAUCUCUUGACAAUUUGACCUCAAAUCGGGUGGGACUACCCGCUGAACUUAAGCAUAUCAAUAAGCGGAGGAAAAGAAACU